rnacentral:tRNA from 1 species
GGGGACGUAGCUCAACUGGGAGAGCACCACGCUGGCAGCGUGGGGGUCGGGGGUUCGAAUCCCCUCGUCUCCA